rnacentral:lncRNA from 1 species
GUGAUACUGGAGUGAGUGUGCAGGUGAUUGUUAGAGAAUAACUAGUAUUGAACGUGACCAACAUAAGAAGUCACAUGGAUGUCUGCUCACUCGUUAGUGACUUUCUCGAUGCUGCAUGGUGUGACUGGUCCUUUGAUCUAAGAUGGUACUACUACUCGCAGUGAGGCUACUGGAGUUUGAUUGACACAUAAAUAUGAGUCUCAAUGAGCCCUUGUAGUCGAUGUUGGCAAUAGUUGGUCUACUGU